UCGCCGUUGCGCUGUCCUGGACCAGUACUCCUUCAAAGCGAAAAGUGAGAUUUCUAAGGCUCAGAGAAUGGACAUCAGCAUAGGUUUCCUUUAACCGUAGCAUCGGCUUAUUUUUGAAAUAGUAGAAAUCGGUUUCUAGUCUGCCCGGAGAGCGCAUUAUGAUAUGAAUUCGACUCAUUGCCAGCGAUUUUUAUGUUUUAGAUUACAAGUUCCAAAUCCCAAAUUGGGAAGCAGCUUCGUGUCUAGCUGUUUUUUAGAUUUACUUUAAAC
rnacentral:lncRNA from 1 species